rnacentral:rRNA from 1 species
AUACGGAGGGUGCAAGCGUUAUUCGGAAUCACUGGGCGUAAAGGGUGCGUAGGCGGUUUGAUAAGUCUGAUGUGAAAUCCUAUGGCUCAACCACAGAACUGCAUUGGAAACUGUCAGACUAGAAUACUGAAGGGGCAGAUGGAAUUAGUGGUGUAGGGGUAAAAUCCGUAGAUAUCACUAGGAAUACCGAAAGCGAAAGCGAUCUGCUGGGAAGUUAUUGACGCUGAGGCACGAAAGCGUGGGGAGCAAACGGGAUUAGAAACCCUAGUAGUCC